CUAAAGACAGCUGUAAAAGAGGACCUGAACUUCCACUCGCCUGAGCUGUCUCUGAAGGUGAGGAGGAGAAAUGGCCCAUUGCUGCAGGGCACAUGGAUUUCAGAAGGCAGCCGCCCUGCCAAAGCUUUCUGAGUGACAUUGGACUUCCAGAGCACUGCAAGUGGCUUGUGCCCACCACCCCUGCCACACACCGCUACAGAAAACUGGUUCAGCCCAGCUUCCCAGCAUUUUCAGGAUCUCUGCACAUAUGGCUGUGGCUUUUCCUAUUGCCUUUCUGGUUUUGCUGAAAGGGAGCGUGACUUCCUACAUGUCAGCUUUCCCCCAUUGCUUCAGGUACAUCUUUUUGCUGAACCUUGAGUCUGCUGAAUGUAUCUGAGGAGGGUGCCUGCCUUGCUCUCCUCCAGCACACCCUCUCCUUUUGGGAGCCCCUGGCUCUCCCACACCCAACCCGGCAUUCUGGAUGGAUAUGAAGGGCCCCUGCGUUACAAGCAGCUCCUCAGCAGCUGAAAUUAUUCCAGAAGAGCCAACUGCAAUGCAAUGCCCGGAGAAAUGGCAAUUCCUGACAGAUACCAUC